rnacentral:rRNA from 1 species
AGGGCAAGUCUGGUGCCAGCAGCCGCGGUAAUUCCAGCUCCAAUAGCGUAUAUUAAAGUUGUUGCAGUUAAAAAGCUCGUAGUUGAAUUUCGGGAUCAAUUUAAUGGUCGUGCCAACGGUACGCACUGGUACAAUUGGUUUCUCCCUUCUGACGAAGCAUGAUGUCAUUAAUUUGAUGUCGUGGGGAAUCAGGACUGUUACUUUGAAAAAAUUAGAGUGUUUAAAGCAGGCUUUGGCUUGAAUACAUUAGCAUGGAAUAAUGAAAUAGGACGUUUGAUCUUAUUUCGUUGGUUUCUAAGAUCGACGUAAUGAUUAAUAGGGAUAGUUGGGGGCAUUAGUAUUCAAUUGUCAGAGGUGAAAUUCUUGGAUUUAUUGAAGACUAACUACUGCGAAAGCAUUUGCCAAGGAUGUUUUCAUUAAUCACGAACGAAAGUUAGGGGAUCGAAGACGAUCAGAUACCGUCGCAGUCUUAACCAUAAACUAUGCCGACUAGGGAUCGGAUGAUGUUAAUUUUUUAAUGACUCAUUCGGCGCCUUACGGGAAA